rnacentral:rRNA from 1 species
GAUGAACGCUGGCGGCGUGCCUAAUACAUGCAAGUCGAGCGAACAGACGAGGAGCUUGCUCCUCUGACGUUAGCGGCGGACGGGUGAGUAACACGUGGAUAACCUACCUAUAAGACUGGGAUAACUUCGGGAAACCGGAGCUAAUACCGGAUAAUAUAUUGAACCGCAUGGUUCAAUAGUGAAAGACGGUUUUGCUGUCACUUAUAGAUGGAUCCGCGCCGCAUUAGCUAGUUGGUAAGGUAACGGCUUACCAAGGCAACGAUGCGUAGCCGACCUGAGAGGGUGAUCGGCCACACUGGAACUGAGACACGGACCAGACUCCUACGGGAGGCAGCAGUAGGGAAUCUUCCGCAAUGGGCGAAAGCCUGACGGAGCAACGCCGCGUGAAUGAUGAAGGUCUUCGGAUCGUAAAACUCUGUUAUUAGGGAAGAACAAAUGUGUAAGUAACUAUGCACGUCUUGACGGUACCUAAUCAGAAAGCCACGGCUAACUACGUG